rnacentral:rRNA from 1 species
UACGUAGGCAGCAAGCGUUGUUCGGAGUUACUGGGCGUAAAGGGUGUGUAGGCGGUUCUCUAAGUUUGGUGUGAAAUCUCCCGGCUCAACCGGGAGGGUGCGCCGAAAACUGGGGGACUGGAGUGCGGGAGAGGAGAGUGGAAUUCCUGGUGUAGCGGUGAAAUGCGUAGAUAUCAGGAGGAACACCGGCGGUGUAGACGGCUCUCUGGACCGUAACUGACGCUGAGACACGAAAGCGUGGGGAGCAAACAGG